rnacentral:misc_RNA from 1 species
UUGAAUGAACUUGGUGUGGUUGUCGCUGACCCCUUUGGGGUAUGUGCACGCCCACCAUACUCAUCUCCACCUGUGCACCUUUUGUAGACUUGGAAUUUAUUUCAAGCCUAUGUUUUUAUAUACCCUAUUGUAUGUUACAGAAUGAAUUCGUUGGGCACUUGUGCCCAUAAACGUUAUA